rnacentral:rRNA from 1 species
CUACGGGCGGCUGCAGUGGGGAAUUUUGCGCAAUGGGCGAAAGCCUGACGCAGCAACGCCGCGUGAGGGAUGAAGGCCUUCGGGUUGUAAACCUCUUUCGGGUGGGAAGAAAAAAAUGACGGUACCACCAGAAGAAGCCCCGGCUAACUCCGUGCCAGCAGCCGCGGUAAUACGGAGGGGGCAAGCGUUGUUCGGAAUUAUUGGGCGUAAAGCGUGUGUAGGCGGUCUGGCAAGUCAGACGUGUAAGCCCACGGCUCAACCGUGGAAUUGCGUUUGAAACUAUCAGGCUUGAGUUCGGAAGAGGAAAGCGGAAUUCCCAGUGUAGCGGUGAAAUGCAUUGAUAUUGGGAAGAACAUCGGUGGCGAAGGCGGCUUUCUGGUCCGAUACUGACGCUGAGAUACGAAAGCCAGGGGAGCAAACGGGAUUAGAUACCCUCGUAGUC